GGGGAGGCCGGGGGCGGGGGAUGAGGGUAAUUUUGUAUUUUCACCCAUCAUUAAUAGCAAAAUGUAACAGAGGGACUGUUUAAUUUAUGGAAUCAAACCUCAUGGACAUGAUAAUAUAAUUUUUCAAAUAGAGAGAUUCAUCUGAGAAUAAUGACAAACCAUAGGAACGAACUAGUACUUCUCCCAAGAUUUUUUGCUACAGAAAGUGUUACUGAAGCUAGUGCCACAAAAAAAUUUC
rnacentral:misc_RNA from 1 species